CCGGGCCUGGCCGCACGCGGGGGAAGCGGCGCUCGCUCCAGCACCGGGGUCUCCCCAGCAGCAGAGCGGGGGGGGGGCACCCAGCUCCAGACCAGGCUGAUUCCCCAGCACCCCGGGAGGGGGGGCGGACUCCCCCCCGCACCCACCUGCCAACACCACCCGCUCAUUCCCAGGGAGAGAAAUGCGGUUGAGUGACCUAGCGACACUUGGGGAGCUCGCCUCCCCGUCACACGAGGAUGGAGAAAGAGGGGGAGCUAACUAACCCUUCAGCAACUGCGCGCACACACACACCCCGCACUCAGCGCCAGAGAGACUGGAAGACUGAACCCUCCCACAGCCGAGCAGGAGUUAUGUAUUAGAGGUGAAGUUAAUGCACCUGAUGAAUAACAUGCAGCCUUCUUGAUGGAGUCAGGACAAAGACGAUCAGAGGGAAGAGGAAACCAAAUAUGAGAUUGCCCAUCAAACAGGAUUGGAGUCUUGGAACUGUAAAUGAAGAAGCAUGCUAAGGAAAAGCCCAUGUUGUGACAGAAAAAAACUUGCCAGAUUGCUUUCCAGGGAAAACAGCUAUAAGAAUGGAUCCAGGGAAUGAUCUUGUAUCUCUGAGUUGUUUGGACACUUUCAGGGAGCAUUCGAGAUGCAAGACACAGAUCCCCAAAGUCACUUGGGGUAACCCCAAGAGACUUAUGGAAAACUAAGAAAUUAUUACAUCUCUGCUAUCAUUUUGGACUUACAAACUUGGACUCAUCUGUUAAUGUAUUUUACCUACUCUAAACCACUC